rnacentral:rRNA from 1 species
CAAAAUGACUCUCGGCAACGGAUAUCCCGGCUCUCGCAUCGAUGAAGAACGUAGCGAAAUGCGAUACUUGGUGUGAAUUGCAGAAUCCCGUGAACCAUCGAGUCUUUGAACGCAAGUUGCGCCCGAAGCUGUUAGGCUUAGGGCACGUCUGCCUGGGUGUCACG